AUCAGUUGUGAAACUCAGAUUGCUUCCUUGCUGCACGUUUGUGAGCAAGUAAAUUGUUUUUGUUUCUUCCUCCUCUGUUCUCUGUCUUGUUCUCUUUUUUUUUGCUGCUGCCAAUGUUCCAACAGUUACUUUCUGGUUUGAGAAUCUUGGAGAAACCAACAGCAUUGGCAUAAUAACAUGUCUGUUUAUGGAUUCCAUAACAUUAGAUGCCAAACCUUUAUUGCAGGGGCUUAGUAUUUAAAUUUUAUCGAGUCAGGUUACUCUCCUUUAGUCAUUUAUCUGUGUAAUUAGUUCCAUAUUCAUGCACAUACAUCGUUACUGCCUCUUAAUUGACCUUAGACUUAAUAAAUUCUCACUUGUUAUGCAUGGGGAACAUCAAAGGUUUUGUUGAAGCAGUAACGGCACUUAUGGUCUCACACAAUAAAUAGACAGGUUUUAGGUUCAUUUCUGUUAUGCUCCAAACGUCAUCCAUCUGAAUUUGUUUUUGUUUUCCAUUAUAUAUCCAUGGCUUCUGAAGAUCCCACCAAGGUUUCAAUCAAGCUUUUGAUAGACCAAGAAAGCAGCAAGGUAAUUGUUGCUGAAGCUGGUAGUGACAUUGUUGAUAUUCUUCGAAGCCUGCUUAAGUUUCCUCUAGGAAACAUUGCACGACUUCUCGGUAAACAUCAAUGUUUACAGCGAGCUGGUUGUUUGAAUAACCUAUGUAACAGCGUAGAAAACCUUAGCCUAACCAGCUUUCGUACCGAUGCAUGUAAGUCUAUGCUGCUUAAUCCUAGAAGCAUCUAUGAAGACGAGUACUCGAAGAAAUUGAAGCUUUACAUGGAUGUUAGUGAGCCUACAGGGUAUUUCCUAUGUGGAACUUAUCUUUGUAUAAAAACUGGUCGUUGGUUUAGUCAUUUUAAAACUUCAAGAUGCAGUUGUGGAGAAUUGAUGGAUAAUCCGACUGAUAUGUGUUUAAAAGUGGGAACAGUUGCAUAUAAAGAUGAAAGUGAGGGAGAAUCAAUGUUUUUCAUAACUGAUGAUUUAAGAGUAAUGCACGGUUUGCCAGGUGAUCUCAUGAACAUCCUUCUCAAUUUGGGUAUCAAUAAUGUUUGUCAGAUUGAAGAAAAAGUUGUGGACAUCAGUUCAAAUGAGAUGUCAAAUCUUUUGAGCCAUUCAUUGUUCUCAAAGACUACUCUUACUGAUGUUUUUCUGAGAAAACAAAGUACAAUGUUCGUUCAACAGUUCAUGCUCGUUGCUCCAAAUGUGAAGGAGAGAACUGAAAAAGAUAGCAAAACAAGAGUGAAGAUAAUGCUGAGGAAAUCAGAUAGGAAGAUAUUAUAUGGUGAAGCAAAUGAAGAUUUUGUUGAUCUUCUAUUUAGCUUCCUCACAAUCCCUUUGGAAUCUGCAUUGGAACUCUUAGGAGGUAAGGGUUUCACAGUGGGAUCCAUCUCUAACUUGCUUAAAGAUUUAGACACCAUAUUCUCCAUAACCAAGCAGAAUAGUUACCAGGAUGGUAUUCUUCCCCCGUUUUAUAGUUGCCCAAUUGAGCUUCCAAGUAUCUGUUCUCAGCAGCCUACAAAAAUUUUUCAUAAAUCAUACGGUUAUUUAAAGCAGUCGGACCCAAAAUCUCCGAUCCUGGAAAAACCAAACAGUAGGGGCUAUUUUAAGAGAAAAAUCACUGUUUCUGAUCACAGACGAUCUUGUAGUUAAAUCACUAUCCUCGGUUUCCAGUUUUUCGUUACUGAAGGAAACAGGGACCCCUCUUUGUGAUGUUGAACAACAAGUCAUUAGCAUUGGAGAGGUUGAAGCGCUUGCUCUGUUGAGGGCUUGUUUAUGUUCUUCUUCAGCUUUAUCAGCUCUACUGACCUUUAUGUCAAGCAGCCAAAGCAAGAGCCACAGUAGCAAUGUUUCUUUAACAUCUGCAACAUAUUUCAAUUCCGUGUCUCAAUCUUUGUGUUUUGCCUUAUCGUCUUGGUAUAAAAAAACUAUCAAAGAAAUGGAUUUUGGAGAGAACAUUGUGUUAUUCAAGUAUGAUACCAUAACAACAAUGGAAAUGGCUUGUUGUUCCAAUUUCAUCCAUGGGGAACCAUUGCGCAUGGUACCACCAUGAAAAAGACACAUUAUUUCCAUAUUUUCACACUUAACCUUUCAAAAUGGUUUGCAUUCAUGCUUUUAAGAUCCAAAAAUAUACUGAUAUUUAUCAAUAACAAAGAUUUCGGAUUUAAAACUUGCAAUUCCUACCU